AUGCCAGAAUCAUUUAUGUCCCCUGCUGUCCAGUUCUGCGGUACUCCCUCCGUUCCACAAUGUAGUGCGCCCGCGCUUCCCGUACCACUGAAUUCGUAUUUUUGCUCCCACUGCAGUUGGUCUCGUUGGUUAAAUUUAUGGUCAAACUUAGAUCUCGGAAAGCGUGAGCGCUCUACAUUGUGGAAUGGAGGGAGUAUUAUGUUUGUCAGAACUAGCCAUUUCUGGUCACCACUGCGGGAAGCUCUGCUGCUAAACAGCAUCCUUAUGGACAGGGGGCCAGUUGGCAUGUCUGGUUCACAGUCUGCAUCCAGCCAUCAACAGAAUUGGGGUAAUAUGCCGCUUCUGACACGGUGA
rnacentral:rRNA from 1 species